GUGAAUGCUCACAGCUUGGCCAGACACCUCCCAGUUUCUGGAGCUGCUGUGUGCUUCGUUGCCUACCCACCCCAGGAUCCCAUUUUCACAGUCACAAAAUGAGGAGUUCAAGAGCACAGUUUCUCAUUCAGUAUUUAAUGGACCUGCAGUCUCUUCCCAGUUGAAUGACUGCAGAGCUGGCAUAGCUUGGUGGAAGCAGAGGGCCUGGUGUUACGUGGGCCAGGAAUGAUGUUCACUGCUCAGCGCUCACAAGUAAGUUCAUUGGCAGCAUCCCACAAGGUUUCUUCUCCUUAGAAACUCAAAAUCCUCUGGCUGAGAAGCGUUGCACUGGAGGUAGAAGAGCUCAAGUCCCAUCAUAGAAUCAUAGAAUGGCCUGGAUUGAAAAUGACCACAGUGAUCAUCUUGUUUCAACCCCCCUGCUAUGUACAGGGUCACCAAACUCUAGAUCAGGCUGCCCAGAGCCACAUCCAGCCUGGGUGUGAUCAGUGAUCAUUGUUUGUCUGGAAGGCUUUAAAGCACUCAGUUCCUUUUUGUUUGUAUUUAAAGUGCCCUUGUGUUGUGCUGUGAUUAACCUGGAAGCUGGCAGUCCGGGGCAACAGGGGCACAAGACAAAGCAUCUACUUCAAGGCUGCUGCUCUGCUCUACAGUCAGCAAGUAGGGGUAUAAGAAAGAAUUAUUUGCAGCUUUGUUGUGUUCCUGCUGGUUCCUUUAUUGUGAGAAAUAAACAGGCAGCCAGCUGAAAAUCAACAACUCAGAAGCAGGAGUACUUUUUCAUGCAGCCCCCAGCCGUUCUGUGAGACUCAUUGCUGUGGAGUAUAUGGAGGCAACAGGAUUGAAUAGGUUAAAUUUGGUUAGGAUUGGAUUGCUAAAUGGACUGGUACCUAUGAUUGGAAGGCAAGCCACAGCCAGAAAUAUCCAAAUUCCUACCCUCUGGGGGCUGUGUUGGUGUACCAGGCAUUUUCUGUGUCUCUCCCUUAGUCUAGCGCAAGGACAGGUUGUUGUAUUAGACAGAUCUUUGGGCUGACCUGUUAUGGCAAUUAUUCUGCUUUUAUGCCUUCCAGGAUUUAUUUUUUUAAUCAUAGGUAUUGUGAACUGUUGCAUAAAGUAAAACUUCUCACAGAUUCCAUGAAAUGUAGGAUCUAUCUAAGGAAUGAAUUUAGCAUGGUGAGAGUUCAUUCAGAGAUGUUAAAAGUUUAUGGUGAUAAUAAACAUAAACACAAGGGUGAAAGGAUCAUUUUCUGUUGCUGUAGCUGAUUGUUUGGUCUCGAAAGGCCCACAGGUAUUUUCAUGCCUUUUGUUGAUUUGUUUUUUUCUUAUUACAUCUCAUCUUGUUACACAAGCCCUGCAUUCUGGGUUCCCAAAACAGUAAUAUGGCGCUAGAGAAGAUUGCCAAACAACCAGACAACGUGGUUAGGGUGUUAGAAUGCAAGUUAAUGUUUGAUAUUUAUUCCUACUAUAUUUUUCAACAUUUUUUUUCUUUACUUAUUCUAAUAAAAGUAAAUUCUAAUAAAAGUAAAAGCAGAUGAAUAUUUUUAAUAAUAAAGAAAUGUCCUUG
ensembl:lncRNA